GGUUUCGGGAGGAGGAGGAGGAAGCAGCGGCGCCGGCGGUAGGACACUCCGGCCGCUCAGCCCCCCGGGCAUUGACGUAGGGCGUUCAGCCUUCUCCUAGUCAGCAUCAUAUCCGGUCUGGACUGAUGCAGCUUCUUCCCAGCUUCACUCUUGUCCCUCUACAAUCGAUUCUCCACGCAACAGCCAGAUUGAUCUUCUUUGCGCAGGUAGAGCUUGAGAGGGAAGACAACAAAAUACUGCAAAAGGACGACUGAAACUAUCCUUGACUCUAUACCCACACUUCCACUGAGUGGCGAGGUGUAGAAAGGGGAGGACGUUUGGGGAGAGGCUUCAUUGCAGGCACACGCAGCUACGACUACCUAGAAAGCAAUCUUAUCCAGGUGACUAAACAGCAACCUGUACAAUUUCCUAUGUGAAGUCCAAGAGCACUGGACUAGACGAGGGGCAUCCCUUCUCUAGAAGCCUGAUGGUGGUCAGCCAAUUCCUAUUUGAAAAUUUGCAGAUAUAAGUGAAACAAUGCUUACUUUUGGAAAUGGACAAAUCUAAGAUGAAUUCUGAGGUGGACCACACAAAGAGAAUGAUGGGAAUACGGAGGAGGAAAACGGAAGAUACAAGACAACAAAAAGUUUGACUUUAGGUUUCAUAGGUUUGAGAUUUCUAUAAGAUGUCCCAAUGAGGAUGCCCAGUAAGCAAUUAGAAGUGGCGGGGAGGGGUCUCAAGCACAGGAGAGAAGUCAAAAAUUGGAAAAAUGGAGUGGGGAGGGAUAUGUAUGUGUAGGUCAUGGCACAUACAUGGUAUCUC